rnacentral:misc_RNA from 1 species
GAAAUGCGAUAAGUAAUGCGAAUUGCAGAAUUCCAGUGAGUCAUCGAAUCUUUGAACGCACAUUGCGCCCUUUGGCAUUCCGAAGGGCAUGCCUGUUCGAGCGUCAUUAUCACCCCUCAAGCCCCCCCUUCUUGAUUGAAGCCCGGCUUGGUGUUGGACGGCUUGGUGUCAGCAAUGUCACCCCUCCUAAAGACAAUGACGGCGGCUUCGUGAGACCCCCGGUACACUGAGUUCCUCACCGAACACGUACUGGAUCAUGGGUAGACGGAGCCCCGGUCGACCUCCCUUCACGGGGAGACUUCUUCUCAGGUUGACCUCGGAUCAGGUAGGAAUACCCGCUGAACUUAA